rnacentral:rRNA from 1 species
UACGAAGGGUGCAAGCGUUAGUCGGAAUUACUGGGCGUAAAGCGUGCGUAGGUGGUUUCUUAAGUCCGUUGUGAAAGCCCUGGGCUCAACCUGGGAACUGCAGUGGAUACUGAGAGGCUAGAGUGUGUCAGAGGAUGGUGGAAUUCCCGGUGUAGCGGUGAAAUGCGUAGAGAUCGGGAAGAACAUCGGUGGCGAAGGCGGCCUGCUGGGCUCUUGCUGACACUGAUGCGCGACAGCGUGGGGAGCAAACAGG